rnacentral:rRNA from 1 species
UACAGAGGGUGCGAGCGUUAAUCGGAAUUACUGGGCGUAAAGCGCGCGUAGGCGGCUUUGCAAGUCGGGUGUGAAAUCCCCAAGCUUAACUUGGGAACUGCAUUCGAGACUGCAUUGCUAGAGUAUGGGAGAGGGAAGUGGAAUUUACGGUGUAGCAGUGAAAUGCGUAGAUAUCGUAAGGAAGACCAGUGGCGAAGGCGAAUCUCUGGACAGUUACUGACACUGAGGCACGAAGGCCAGGGGAGCAAACGGG